CUGCCUGGUAGUGGGGGACAACGUUUCGAAAGGAACGCUAAUACCGCAUACGUCCUACGGGAGAAAGCAGGGGACCUUCGGGCCUUGCGCUAUCAGAUGAGCCUAGGUCGGAUUAGCUAGUUGGUGAGGUAAUGGCUCACCAAGGCGACGAUCCGUAACUGGUCUGAGAGGAUGAUCAGUCACACUGGAACUGAGACACGGUCCAGACUCCUACGGGAGGCAGCAGUGGGGAAUAUUGGACAAUGGGCGAAAGCCUGAUCCAGCCAUGCCGCGUGUGUGAAGAAGGUCUUCGGAUUGUAAAGCACUUUAAGUUGGGAGGAAGGGUUGUAGAUUAAUACUCUGCAAUUUUGACGUUACCGACAGAAUAAGCACCGGCUAACUCUGUGCCAGCAGCCGCGGUAAUACAGAGGGUGCAAGCGUUAAUCGGAAUUACUGGGCGUAAAGCGCGCGUAGGUGGUUUGUUAAGUUGGAUGUGAAAUCCCCGGGCUCAACCUGGGAACUGCAUCCAAAACUGGCAAGCUAGAGUAUGGUAGAGGGUGGGUGGAAAUUUCCUGUGUAGCGGUGAAAUGCGUAGAUAUAGGAAGGAACACCAGUGGCGAAGGCGACCACCUGUACUGAUACUGACACUGAGGUGCGAAAGCGUGGGGAGCAAACAGGA
rnacentral:rRNA from 1 species